rnacentral:rRNA from 1 species
GAUGAACGCUGGCGGCGUGCCUAAUACAUGCAAGUCGAGCGAACAGACGAGGAGCUUGCUCCUUUGACGUUAGCGGCGGACGGGUGAGUAACACGUAGGUACCCUACCUAUAAGACUGGGAUAACUUCGGGAAACCUGAGCUAAUACCGGAUAAUAUUUCGAACCGCAUGGUUCGAUAGUGAAAGAUGGCUUUGCUAUCACUUAUAGAUGGACCUGCGCCGUAUUAGCUAGUUGGUAAGGUAACGGCUUACCAAGGCAACGAUACGUAGCCGACCUGAGAGGAUGAUCGGCCACACUGGAACUGAGACACGGUCCAGACUCCUACGGGAGGCAGCAGUAGGGAAUCUUCCGCAAUGGGCGAAAGCCUGACGGAGCAACGCCGCGUGAGGGAUGAAGGUCUUCGGAUCGUAAAACGCUGUUAUUAGGGAAGAACAAACGUGUAAGUAACUGUGAACGUAUUGACGGUACCUAAUCAGAAAGCAACGGCUAACUACGUG